rnacentral:rRNA from 1 species
UACAGAGGGUGCGAGCGUUAAUCGGAAUUACUGGGCGUAAAGCGCACGUAGGCGGCUUGGUAUGUCGGGUGUGAAAUCCCCGGGCUCAACCUGGGAACUGCAUCCGAAACUGCCUUGCUAGAGUAUGGGAGAGGGAAGUGGAAUUUCCGGUGUAGCGAUGAAAUGCGUAGAUAUCGGAAGGAACAUCAGUGGCGAAGGCGACUUCCUGGACCAAUACUGACGCUCAGGUGCGAAAGCGUGGGGAGCAAACAGG